GAUGAAGAACGUAGCGAAAUGCGAUACGUAAUGUGAAUUGCAGAAUUCAGUGAAUCAUCGAAUCUUUGAACGCAUAUUGCGCUCUCUGGUAUUCCGGAGAGCAUGCUUGUUUGAGUAUCAGUAAACACCUCAACUUCCAUAUCUUUUUUGAAAUGGGAGUUGGACUUGAGUGAUCCCAACGCUUUUCCUCACCGAAAAGUGGCGGGUUACUUGAAAUGCAGGUGCAGCUGGACUUUUCUCUGAGCUAUAAGCAUAUCUAUUUAGUCUGCCUAAAAAACAGAUUAUUACCUUUGCUGCAGCUAACAUAAAGGAGAUUAGUUCUUGUGCUGACUGAUGCAGGAUUCACAAAGACAGGCUUCGGCCGACUUCGUAAACUCGAUCUCAAAUCAAGUAAGACUACCCGCUGAACUUAAGCAUAUCAAUAAGCGGAGGA
rnacentral:misc_RNA from 1 species